UAAAAUGUGUUGAUUAAUAUAGACAGCAGGACAGUGGCCAUGGAAGUUGAAAUCACUAAAGAGUGUAUAACAACUCACCUUCUGAAUCAACUAGCCCUGAAAAUGGAGAGCAUUGGA
rnacentral:ncRNA from 1 species